rnacentral:rRNA from 1 species
CCUUGUCAAUGCACGCAAAGUGUGAACAGGGGUAUUCUGAGUGCUUAUGUUAUGCAUAGGCUUUUAUCGAGAGUUAAUAUCUCGAUGAAUAAGUGGUGGGCAAGACUGGUGCCAGCAGCCGCGGUAACACCAGCGCCACAAGUGGGAAUCGUUUAUUGGGCCUAAAGCGUCCGUAGCCGGUUUGGUAAGUUUUCUGUGAAAUUGUGUAGCUUAAAUAUACAUCGUGCAGGGAAUACUACCAGACUAGGAACCGGGAGGGGCUAGAAGUAUUCGUGGGGAAGCGGUAAAAUGUUAUAAUCCCACGAGGACUACCUAUGGCGAAGGCAUCUAGCCAGAACGG